ACCUUGCAGAAUUUCCUUUGUUUUGUUUGAUCUUGCAAUUUAAAGAAUUUUUUAAAAUAAUGUGACUCAUAGGAAGUAAAGAGAGGGAGCUGAUUAUCACAGGAUUGUGCCCAGGCAGGAAUAUAGAGAAGACGUGAAAUCUUUCAUGUAAAUGUUGUAAAGAAUUAGCAGCUGGACUUGUCAAGAUUACAGACGGAUGAUUUGAAAUACCUUGGAAGAAUUGUCAGGAAUCAAUCACUAUAAAAUUAUUUGAUUGGAGAAAUUGGAAGUCUCGUUAGUGUUUAUAUACAAAGGCAAACACAACCAAACAUUUGUUGGCACCGGUUGAAAUUGAUCGCUGAAACAUCUUGCAAUCAAAGGU